GAUGUUCUGAGAUGUUUGUUCUGGGAUGUUCUGAGAUGUUGUUAGAUGUUCUGGGAUGUUCUGAGAUGUUUGUUCUGGGAUGUUCUGAGGUGUUGUUAGAUGUUCUGGGAUGAUGUUAGAUGUUCUGGGAUGUUUGUUCUGGGAUGUUCUGGGAUGUUUGUUCUGGGAUGUUCUGAGAUGUUGUUAGAUGUUCUGGGAUGUUCUGAGAUGUUUGUUCUGGGAUGUUCUGAGAUGUUGUUAGAUGUUCUGGGAUGUUCUGAGAUGUUGUUAGAUGUUCUGGGAUGUUCUGAGAUGUUUGUUCUGGGAUGUUCUGAGAUGUUCUG